CACCCUUUUAAUGGCAGUCCAGAGAGGCUGACAAAGGGGAAUAGGAAACAGAUGAAUCUAUGGAAGGAUUCUCGUUUCUCUGUACCCUCUUUGUAUACAAGCAAAGAGGUUUUUUUAU
rfam:Bacillus coahuilensis p1.1.43 ABFP000024, whole genome shotgun sequence.